GGUGAUAGUGACCAAAGGGGUCUUAUAUAGAAUACUGAAUAGGGAUCAUUCCAGAUUUCAAAAAAGAAUUUGAAAUUUAAAAUCUCCCCCUCAGAUAAGGUUCCCCCCAACAAAUUGUACCUAUCCCGUUAUUCUUCAAUAGAUUUUGGAAGAAAAGCCAAUGGAAAAAAUGGGGAAAAGGGAAUAAUCUCCCUCAAACCAGUAAAAAUCGUCCAAAUAUGUACCAAACUUGUACCUCUAU
rnacentral:lncRNA from 1 species